rnacentral:tRNA from 1 species
GGCCCUUUGGCCAAGUGGUAAGGUGUUCUCCUCCGGAGAGAAAGAUCGCAGGUUCAAUCCCUGCAUGGGUCG